rnacentral:rRNA from 1 species
UACAGAGGUCUCAAGCGUUGUUCGGAUUCAUUGGGCGUAAAGGGUGCGUAGGCGGUUUGUCGCGUCGGGAGUGAAAACACGGGGCUUAACCCCGUGCCUGCUUCCGAUACGGGCAGACUAGAGGUAUGCAGGGGAGAACGGAAUUCCUGGUGUAGCGGUGAAAUGCGCAGAUAUCAGGAGGAACACCGGUGGCGAAGGCGGUUCUCUGGGCAUUACCUGACGCUGAGGAGCGAAAGUGUGGGGAGCGAACAGG